GGCUGACUGGAGGUCCUGAGAGAGUACCCAACCUCCCGGCCUCCUACAUACUGAACUUCUUGCUGAAUAUGUACCAGCCUUAAAUUGCUCUGAGCAAAGCCAAGAAAGUCAGUCUGGCUGCCAGUGAUUAAUGCUGGCAAUAUACUCAGCAGCCUGCUAAUUGCGAGGGUAAGCGUCGCCAGGGCUUCCCCUUGGGGGAUCUUCAAGAAACCUUCUGGGCAACAGGCAAAGUGAGAGAAACCCAGUACCCAGACAUGCAGCGUCAUGCUCUCUCCUGAAGUUUCCCUGUCCCAGCCUCACCAUCCAGGUGAGGCUGGGAGCUUGAUGUGCAGGGCUGCAGUUGCAUGGUGCCGGGAGAAUUCACAAAAGCCUCAAAAACAACCAACCUUUUUUGCCAUCUUUUCUCAUUGCAGUAGGAAAACACGUUUCUGACAGUGGCUUUUGGACAACUCAGAGAAGCAACAGCAAUGACUCCGGACUUAAUCGUCCCACCUGGAGAUGACUGCCAUUCACUUUUGGGCUUGCAUAUGUGUGUGUGUGUGUGCACAUGUGUGCACGUGUGUUUGAGCACACAUGUGCGUGUGUGUUCCUUGUUAAACAACAAAAUGGGAGACAUACUAUUCAGCUGUAUAACUUUAUUAUUUGGUUAAUAUAUCAUUACUAUAUUCUCACUGUUUAGUAUAACUUUUAAUCUUUUUGUUAUUCUGAAGCAAUAAAAGCUC
rnacentral:lncRNA from 1 species